GACGAACGCUGGCGGCGUGCUUAACACAUGCAAGUCGAACGGAAAGGCCCUGCUUGCAGGGUACUCGAGUGGCGAACGGGUGAGUAACACGUGGGUGAUCUGCCCUGCACUUCGGGAUAAGCCUGGGAAACUGGGUCUAAUACCGGAUAUGACCUUCCAUGUAGUGUGGGGGGUGGAAAGAUUUAUCGGUGUGGGAUGAGCCCGCGGCCUAUCAGCUUGUUGGUGGGGUAAUGGCCUACCAAGGCGUCGACGGGUAGCCGGCCUGAGAGGGUGGACGGCCACAUUGGGACUGAGAUACGGCCCAGACUCCUACGGGAGGCAGCAGUGGGGAAUAUGGCACAAUGGGCGGAAGCCUUAUGCAGCGACGCCGCGUGGGGGAUGACGGCCUUCGGGUUGUAAACCUCUUUCGACAGGGACGAAGCUUCGGUGACGGUACCUGUAGAAGAAGCACCGGCUAACUACGUG
rnacentral:rRNA from 1 species